AACGUAGGACACGAGCGUUAUCCGGAGUUACUGGGCGUAAAGGGCGGGUAGGCGGCUUGAUAAGCUUGGUGUGAAAGCCUUCGGCUUAACCGAGGGAGGACACUGGUGACUGUCAGGCUUGAGGCAGAUAGAGGGGUGUAGAAUUCCGGGUGUAGUGGUGAAAUGCUUAGAGAUUACAUGGAAUACCAAUUGCGAAGGCAGGUUACUACUAAUGGAUUGACGCUGAUGGACGAAAGCGUGGGUAGCGAACAGG
rnacentral:rRNA from 1 species